rnacentral:rRNA from 1 species
GACGAACGCUGGCGGCGUGCUUAACACAUGCAAGUCGAACGGAAAGGCCCCCACCUUGGUGGGGGUGCUCGAGCGGCGAACGGGUGAGUAACACGUGGGUGAUCUGCCCUGUACUUCGGGAUAAGCUUGGGAAACUGGGUCUAAUACCGGAUAGGACCAUGGUUUAGUGUCUCAUGGUGGAAAAAUUAUUGUUUUGGUGCAGGAUGAGCUCGCGGCCUAUCAGCUUGUUGGUGGGGUAAUGGCCUACCAAGGCGUCGACGGGUAGCCGGCCGGAGAGGGUGGACGGCCACGUUGGGACUGAGGUACGGCCCAGCCUCCUGAGGGAGGCAGCGGUGGGGAAUCUUGCCGAAUGGGCGCAAGCCUGAUGCAGCGAGGCCGCGUGGGGGAUGACGGCCUUCGGGUUGUAAACUCCUUUCGUUAGGGACGAAGCCACACCUUUUUUGGGUGUGGUGACGGUACCUUUGUUAAGAAGCACCGGCUAACUACGUG